rnacentral:rRNA from 1 species
GACGAACGCUGGCGGUGUGCUUAACACAUGCAAGUGGUGCGACGAACCAGGCUUCGGCCUGGGGCAAAGCCGCGAACGGGUGAGUAACACGUGGGUAAUCUGCCCCGAUGACCGGGACAACCCGAGGAAACUCGGGCUAAUACCGGAUGUGGGGCCUGGACAUAAGUCCGGUCACUAAAGGUAGCUUCGGCUUCCGCAUUGGGAGGGGCCCGCGGCCCAUUAGCUUGUUGGUGGGGUCAAGGCCUACCAAGGCAACGAUGGGUAGCUGGUCUGAGAGGACGAUCAGCCACACUGGGAAGGAGACACGGCCCAGACUCCUACGGGAGGAAGCAGUGGGGAAUCUUGCGGAAGGCGCGAAAGCGUGACGCAGCAACACCGGGUGAGGGAAGACGGCCUUAGGGUUGUAAACCUCUUUCAGAUGGGACGAAGGUUGUCCGGUGAAUAGCCGAGAUGAUUGACGGUACCGGCAGAAGAAGCUCCGGCUAACUACGUGCCAGCAGCCGCUGUAACAC